rnacentral:rRNA from 1 species
UGAGUAACCUGCCCUUCACUCUGGGACAACUCCGGGAAACCGGGGCUAAUACUGGAUAUGACUCGAACAGGCAUCUGUUUCGGGUGGAGAGAUUUAUUGGUGGAGGAUGGACUCGCGGCCUAUCAGCUUGUUGGUGAGGUAAUGGCUCACCAAGGCGACGACGGGUAGCCGGCCUGAGAGGGCGAUCGGCCACACGUGGGACUGAGACACGGCCCAGACCUCCGUACGGGAG